rnacentral:rRNA from 1 species
CGCUAGCUACUGGCUUAACACAUGCAAGUCGAGGGGAAACGACAUCGAAAGCUUGCUUUUGAUGGGCGUCGACCGGCGCACGGGUGAGUAACGCGUAUCCAACCUGCCCACCACUUGGGGAUAAUCUUGCGAAAGUAAGACUAAUACCCAAUGACGUCUCUAGAAGACAUCUGAAAGAGAUUAAAGAUUUAUCGGUGAUGGAUGGGGAUGCGUCUGAUUAGCUUGUUGGCGGGGUAACGGCCCACCAAGGCAACGAUCAGUAGGGGUUCUGAGAGGAAGGUCCCCCACAUUGGAACUGAGACACGGUCCAAACUCCUACGGGAGGCAGCAGUGAGGAAUAUUGGUCAAUGGGCGAGAGCCUGAACCAGCCAAGUAGCGUGCAGGAUGACGGCCCUAUGGGUUGUAAACUGCUUUUAUAAGGGAAUAAAGUGAGUCUCGUGAGACUUUUUGCAUGUACCUUAUGAAUAAGGACCGGCUAAUUCCGUGCCAGCAGCCGCGGUAAUACGGAAGGUCCGGGCGUUAUCCGGAUUUAUUGGGUUUAAAGGGAGCGUAGGCCGGAGAUUAAGCGUGUUGUGAAAUGUAGACGCUCAACGUCUGCACUGCAGCGCGAACUGGUUUCCUUGAGUACGCACAAAGUGGGCGGAAUUCGUGGUGUAGCGGUGAAAUGCUUAGAUAUCACGAAGAACUCCGAUUGCGAAGGCAGCUCACUGGAGCGCAACUCACGCUGAAGCUCAAAAGUGCGGGUAUCGAACAGGAUUAGAUACCCUGGUAGUCCGCACGGUAAACGAUGGAUGCCCGCU